CUCACCGUCCACCACCUCCUCAACGUCCGCCACCUCCUCACCGUCCACCACCUCCUCACUAUCCACCACCUCCUCACCGUCCACCACCUCCUCACUAUCCACCACCUCCACUCUGACAGCUCUGACCGGUUGUCCAUUAGGUGAGCCCAAAGGCACAGAAGCUACUAGAGACAGACAAUAUCUGUAUCUGAUGGUCACUGGGGGGACUUUACUAACAGUGGCCGUAGUGGUCACUGUGAUCUGGAGGAGACGGACACAGAGACGUGGGAAUCACAUGACGUUGGAGGGGGCGGAGCCAGAAGAGCUCAUGGUGAAAGAUGAUGUUGAUUUGCUGGACCAUGAAUGGACAAACAGGACCGUUCUUAAACUGGAGGAAACAAACACUGCAGCAGCGCUUUAACAGCACAGAGACUCUCAGAAAUACUGUAGCAUUACAAACCCAGUUCUCAAUGUUUUUUAUAUUUAUAAUUUCAUGUUUCACCUGAUGAAUUACUGAAUGUGAAACAGGCUGUAAUCCAGUGCAGGUCACAUGUAAUAACAAACCCUCUGAAGGUGAACUGUGGGGUGUUUUGGGUCAUUUUAUAGCUCCGGCGCGUUUUACUGAACCCUCGUCAGCACUCGUGAUGGAGUGUAAGUGAUCACUGGAGUGUGUGUGUGUGUGUGUGUGUGUGUGUGUGUGUGUGUGUGUGUGUGUGUGUGAUGGUGUCAGGUGGUCUGAAUGAAUCCUGAACCAGUUUCAAGCUUCUUCCAGAUUCCAGAUCACUUCAGGAAUGUGGGCAGUAAUGGUGGCAUUUAGCCCACCUGGCUAACAACCAUUAACUAAUCUGGCCAACAGGCUUUGGCUCACCUGGCCAACAACCUUUGGCCCACCUGGCUAACAGCCUUUAACUAAUCUGGCCAGCGGCCUUUAGCCCACCCAGCUAACAGCCUUUGGCCCACCUGGCUAACAGCCCUUAACUCAGAUUAACACAGCCUAAAUAUUGGAAAAUGAUAUUCAGAGUAUUGGUCUCAUGUCAGACCUGUCACUGCAGUCGUAUCGCUGACGUACGCCGGUCACCUGAAGUGACAGCUAACAUUAGCCCAGUGACCACAGCUCUAAUAGAGACACUGGUCAUUUACUGUCACAUUAGUUAACAAAGUAUUGAGACAGUUAAAAUCUCAUCACUGUCCAAAUAAAACCUUCCAUCUUCAAAAUACCAACUUUUCAGAAAAAAAAAAACAUUCUUAAUAUGUAAUAUCACAUUAGCUAAUAAAUACUAACAUUGAACCAUCUCUUUUAUGUGUGUCUUAUUGUCCUCAAAUGUAUUGAUUUGGCACAAUGCUGUCACAUGCAGUGGGCUAAUUUUAUUUAUCUGUGAUAAUCUGAAAUC